GGUUGGAGGAAGGGUAGGGGACGCGAGCCUGCUUCCAUCUGACGCUGGACGCUUGUCCCUGCCCCGCGUUGCCUUUUAAAUUUUAGCUCAUUCCGAGACACCUGCCGUCAGACAUUUAUGCAGUGUGUGAUUCUUUCUAAAACAACUCCCUGGAAGAGAGGACAUUUAAUUCAACAAUUUAUUGGCCACCUACUGUGCACCAGGCAGUGAACUUGGAACUGGGGCUACUGGGUUACAGCAGUGACCAAGACAGAGGUCCCUGUUCUUAAGGAGCAAGUGAGGGCAACAGAAAAGAGCAGUCAGCUGUCAUGCGAGGGCACUCAAGCAGCCCUGUGGAAAGCUCUACGUGGUGAGAAACUGAAGCCUCCUGCCAACACCAACAAGGAACUGAGACCUACUUCCAACAGCCAUCUGAGUGAUCGAUCCAUCCUGGAAUCAGAUCCUCCAGCCCCAGUCAAGUCUUCAGAUGACUGCAGCCCUGACCAGCAUCUCAACUGCAACCUCGUGAAUGACCCUGAGCCAGAACCAUGCAACUAAACUCUGCGUGGAUUCAUGACCCACAGAAACUGUGAGAUGGUAGCUGUUUGCUUUGUUAAGCCUCUAAGUCUGGAAAGAAUGUCUUAAGCAGUAGCAGACAAUGAACACAAGAUUAUUAUUCAGCUGUUGAAUUGGAAGAGGAGGGGAAGAAAAAAUUUUCAGAUCACAAAAUAUUCAUUGUGUAAAACUUCAAAAAUUCUGAAAUUUAAGGAAAAAAUAUCAUUUGUUGGGAAUUUGUUGGGAUUCAUUGUCUCAGUGCCAAGAGACACCCACUCUUUUUUUUUUUUUGAGACAGAGUCCUGCUCUGUUGCCCAGGCUGAAGGGCAGUGGCACGAUCUCAGCUCACCACAACCUCUGCCUCCCGGGUUCAAGUGAUUCUCCUCCCUAAGCCUCCCAAGUGGCUGGGACUACAGGCAUGCAUCACCAUGCCCGGCUAAUUUUUGUAUUUUUAGUAGAGACGGGGUUUCACUAUGUUGGCCGGCUGAUCUCAAACUCUUGACCCCGUGAUCCGCCCGCAUCAGCCUCCCAAAGUGCCGGGAUUACAGGCAUGAGCCACUGCGCCCGGCCGAGACACUCACUCUUAACAUUUUGGUAUAUUUUUUCUCUCUGCACAUUUUUUAUCCAGCUGACUUUAUUUUGUCUCCUGAAAUCUUCAUUUUUAAAUUAUAGCUUCAGCAUUUAAGAAAAUGUGUCUAACAAAGUCUUCGCAAGCAUACAUUUUUCCCAUAGUUAGUAUACUUAGAAUUUAUUUGUCAAGCAAUUUUGAAGGGCUUUCACUAUGAAAAACUUUAGGGCUUAUUGAUAUUCUCUUUAAGUAGAAGUAUGUUUUUUAUUAUUACAAAAGUUAUAUAUGUAUA
rnacentral:lncRNA from 1 species